CGGGGGGGGCAAGCGUUGUUCGGAAUUACUGGGCGUAAAGGGCCAGUAGGCGGCCAACUAAGUCCGACGUGAAAUCCCCAGGCUUAACCUGGGAACUGCGUCGGAUACUGGAUGGCUUGAAUUCGGGAGAGGGAUGCAGAAUUCCAGGUGUAGCGGUGAAAUGCGUAGAUAUCUGGAGGAAUACCGGUGGCGAAGGCGGCAUCCUGGACCGACAUUGACGCUGAACGGCGAAAGCUAGGGGAGCAAACGGGAUUAGAUACCCCGGUAGUCCUAGCCCUAAACAAUGAAUGCUUGGUGUGGCGGGUAUCGAUCCCUGCCGUGCCGAAGCUAACGCAUUAAGCAUUCCGCCUGGGGAGUACGGUCGCAAGGCUG
rnacentral:rRNA from 1 species